GACGUAGGAGGCGAGCGUUUGUCCGGAUUCAUUGGGCGUAAAGAGCACGCAGGCGGUUUGGCAAGUCGGAUGUGAAAACCCGAAGCUCAACUUCGGGCCUGCAUCCGAAACUGCCCGACUAGAGGUAGGUAGGGGAGAUCGGAAUUCCUGGUGUAGCGGUGAAAUGCGCAGAUAUCAGGAGGAACACCGAUGGCGAAGGCAGCCC
rnacentral:rRNA from 1 species